rfam:Myotis brandtii contig200723, whole genome shotgun sequence.
GCCAGUGUUUCUCAGUGGUUAGAGUGUUGGCCCAUGUACCAAAGGAUUGUGGGUUCGAUUCCCAGUCAAGGGCA